CCUACGGGAGGCAGCAGUGAGGAAUAUUGGUCAAUGGUCGGGAGACUGAACCAGCCAAGCCGCGUGAGGGAUGAAGGUACAGAGUAUCGUAAACCUCUGUUGUCAGGGAACAAAGGCGGGGACGUGUCCCCGGAUGAGUGUACCUGAAGAAAAAGCAUCGGCUAACUCCGUGCCAGCAGCCGCGGAAAUACGGAGGAUGCGAGCGUUAUCCGGAUUUAUUGGGUUUAAAGGGUGCGCAGGCGGUCUGUUAAGUCAGCGGACAAAGCCCGGGGCUCAACCCCGGCCCGCCGUUGAAACUGGCAGUCUCGAGUUGGAGAGAAGUAAGCGGAAUGCGCGGUGUAGCGGGGAAAUGCAUAGAUAUCGCGAAGAACUCCGAUUGCGAAUGCAGCAUGCCGGAUCCACACUGACGCUGAGGCACCAAAGCGUGGGUAUCGAACAGGAUUAGAUACCCUAGUAGUC
rnacentral:rRNA from 1 species